rnacentral:tRNA from 1 species
AUUUUUCUAAUAUAAUAGUAUAAUUGACUUCCAAUCAAUAAGUCUGGGACUCCAGGAAAAAUA